rnacentral:rRNA from 1 species
GAUGAACGCUGGCGGCGUGCCUAAUACAUGCAAGUCGAGCGAACAGACGAGGAGCUUGCUCCUCUGACGUUAGCGGCGGACGGGUGAGUAACACGUGUAUCACCUCCCUAUAUGACUGGGAUAACUUCGGGACACCGGCGCUAAUACCGUAUAAUAUAUUGAACCGCAGGGGUCAUUAGUGAAAGACGGCUUUGCUGGCUCUACUCGCUGCUUCUCAGCCGCAUUGUCGAGUAGGUAAGGUACCGGCUUACCAAGGCAACGAUGCGUAGCCGACCUGAGAGGGUGAGCAGCCACACUGGAAGGGUGACACGGUCCAGACGCCCUCGGGAGGCAGCAGUAGGGAAUCGUCCGCAAGGGGCGGAGGCCUGACGGAGCAGCGCCGCGUGAGGGAUGAAGGUCGCCGGGUCGUGAAACUCUGUUAUUAGGGAAGAACAAAUGUGUAAGUGACUAUGCGCGUCUUGACGGUAACUGAGCAGAGAGGCACGGCUAACUUCGUG